rnacentral:misc_RNA from 1 species
UGGCCGUGUUCGGUGCACCGUUGGAAAGUAUUUUCGAAUGGUACAGUGGUAACUUCGGAACGAUCGAGAGACGAUUGAUGAUCCCGGAUGAGUGACGAGAGACGGAUCGGCCAGCCGAGAUACCGCGAGGGAGGCUUAAACGAGUAUUUAUCCGUCGACAAUGGAGGGAACGCCGUGUGCCCGGUACGCGAACGCGGCGAAAACACAGAGAAAGACAGAGAGGGUGAUCGGUCGGAGAUCCCAAGGGACCAUCAUCAGGG